CCUACGGGAGGCAGCAGUGGGGAAUUUUGGACAAUGGGCGCAAGCCUGAUCCAGCAAUGCCGCGUGAGUGAAGAAGGCCUUCGGGUUGUAAAGCUCUUUUGUCAGGGAAGAAACGGCUGAGGCUAAUACCUUUGGCUAAUGACGGUACCUGAAGAAUAAGCACCGGCUAACUACGUGCCAGCAGCCGCGGUAAUACGUAGGGUGCAAGCGUUAAUCGGAAUUACUGGGCGUAAAGCGUGCGCAGGCGGUUUUGUAAGUCUGACGUGAAAUCCCCGGGCUCAACCUGGGAAUUGCGUUGGAGACUGCAAGGCUGGAGUCUGGCAGAGGGGGGUAGAAUUCCACGUGUAGCAGUGAAAUGCGUAGAGAUGUGGAGGAACACCGAUGGCGAAGGCAGCCCCCUGGGUCAAGACUGACGCUCAUGCACGAAAGCGUGGGGAGCAAAGNGAGUAUAGACUACGUAGUACGACCGACCGUAACCGAACGNUNUACUACUAGUU
rnacentral:rRNA from 1 species